GACGAACGCUGGCGGCGUGCUUAACACAUGCAAGUCGAACGGAAAGGCCUUUUCGGCGGUACUCGAGUGGCGAACGGGUGAGUAACACGUGGGUGAUCUGCCCUGCACUCUGGGAUAAGCCUGGGAAACUGGGUCUAAUACCGGAUAGGACCGCACUUUAGUGUGUUUGGUUGAAAGUUUUUUCGGUGUAGGAUGAGCCCGCGGCCUAUCAGCUUGUUGGUGGGGUAAUGGCCUACCAAGGCGGCGACGGGUAGCCGGACUGAGAGGUUGGUCGGCCACAUUGGGACUGAGAGACGGCCCAGACUCCUACGGGAGGCAGCAGUGGGGAAUAUUGCACAAUGGGCGCAAGCCUGAUGCAGCGACGCCGCGUGGGGGAUGACGGCCUUCGGGUUGUAAACGCCUUUCGCCAGGGACGAAGCGUUUUGUGACGGUACCUGGAGAAGAAGCACCGGCUAACUACGUG
rnacentral:rRNA from 1 species